UUAUCCGGAUUUAUUGGGUUUAAAGGGAGCGUAGGCGGGUGCUUAAGUCAGUUGUGAAAGUUUGCGGCUCAACCGUAAAAUUGCAGUUGAUACUGGGUACCUUGAGUGCAGCAUAGGUAGGCGGAAUUCGUGGUGUAGCGGUGAAAUGCUUAGAUAUCACGGAGAACUCCGAUUGCGAAGGCAGCUUACUGGACUGUAACUGACGCUGAUGCUCGAAAGUGUGGGUAUCAAACAGGAUUAGAUACCCUGGUAGUCCACACAGUAAACGAUGAAUACUCGCUGUUGGCGAUACACAGUCAGCGGCCAAGCGAAAGCAUUAAGUAUUCCACCUGGGGAGUACGCCGGCAACGGUGAAACUCAAAGGAAUUGACGGGGGCCCGCACGAGCGGAGGAACAUGUGGUUUAAUUU
rnacentral:rRNA from 1 species